rnacentral:lncRNA from 1 species
AUUUUUUUUCAUUUUACUUUCCCUGAAUCCUUCCCCAGAGUGUUCAGAAAUAUCAAAUAUGAGCUGAAUAAGUAGUGGAAAGACAAGGAUUCAUCCGUUCCACAGACUACAAACCUGGCCGAUAGAGGGAAUAUUUCAUUUUAGAUCAAAUGAUUCACUGUCAUCUUUGUCUGAUAUUACAACAUAGUGACCACACAACUAUCCUCAAUGGUAUUUGACUACAUGGAUUCUGUAAAAAGAUGAAGCUUAAGAACACUAUUUUUUUUCAAGUGCAAUAUACUGUAGUCAUAAGAUGAAUGGGGUCUUGUCCAUAUAUCUACAUGAAAUUUAGAUAAAGCAAGCAAUGUGAAGAACACAUAAUCUCACAUUUUGCAUGUCACACUAUAAAUUCUAUACCAGGUUGUACUUCAUUUUUGCCCUGUUUUUCUCUACCAAAGGGAAACAAAUGAGGAGAGUUCACCAUAUUUGUUUAUUUAUUUAACAUUUGAAAAUCAUAAUCACAGAGUUGAACUUCAUAUUCCUUGGUGUGCUUCAUGUAGCACACCCAAGAUAUAGGUGAGUGGUGGCUUUUUUAUAGGAGAAAUUACAAAGCUUUUUUUCCUACAUCUGAAAACUCACAUCUGAAGUUUUAAAAUGUGUACCUCUCUAAAAGAUACAAUUGCUUUGUCCUCACCUGUGUGAUGAGGUUAGAUGUUGCCAUUCUGUGAAAAGCAAAACCUCAUACCAGAUGUAUUUUGAAUGAAUCCUUGAUUCACAAUGGAAGUUGCUCACAGCUAAAAUGAAAUAUGUGUUGCCUUCUCUCUAGUUUGUUUUCUCAGAUUUCUAAACACAAAGACAAAAAAGGACAGAAAACACUUUGUAUUUGCUAUAACCUUGAGAAUCAGUCCUAAGAGUUAGAUGUCAAAUUGUUGAAUUACUUGCUCUUAUUAUCCUCUAACUAUUCCAUAUUCUUUUAAUUGACUCAGUGUUGUAAAGAUAAACGCCUUGGGUUACGCAUAACACAGAACACAGCACAACAUAAUGCAAUUUCAUAAAGGAUCUUCUGUAAUUGCUUAUCACACGUGGCUGUGCAUGACAGAUAGAAACAAUAAAAGAACAAAUGGAAAAUAUUAGGCCAAACCUUAUUACUGAGAUAAUAUUUGAAACAAUCUUGAAAUACUUUUUGAUACACAUUGUCCAUAUGUAAGCCUUGUGAAUGAUUGCAGUUUCUCAAAUCUAUCUGGUUGUAUAUUGGAAAUGGUGGGGAGCAACUAGUAAAGGGGCUAACUUUGCAAAUAAGAAUUCUGAGUGUUACAAGAA